GUGACCAGCGGGAAAGGAAGAGCGGGCCGACCGGACCGAGACUCAGCGCCGCCAGGCGAGCGUCCGACCCUGCCGCUGGGAAAGCACCCCCAUGCGCCCCUUCUCCCAAAUCCCAUUCGUUCACUCUCACUCCCUCCUACUUCCCAGUACCCUUGAGUCGGUUUCAGUGGCUCGCCCACUUCUCCCUGCCCCUGCCCCUGCCCCUUCUGUAUUCAGCUUUCUCCUCACUUCGCCCUUCUAGGACACUCCUCUUUUCUCUAUAUAUCUCUGUCUGGUGUGGGCUCCCUCUUUGUGUAUCAGUGAAGAACUUUAGGGACACUCUUUGCCCCCGAGCUACUGUGCUGCGCGAUACAGACCUAAAGUGAAAAGUAGACACGUAGUGCGACCCCACCUCCCCUUCUCGCUCAAACCCUUCUAGACAGUCGCCUAGAAGUCGCCACUCGUUUUCCUAAUACCUCCCUCACGCGGCCUCGCACCUCUGGAACCAGAGACUCAAAAGUCUUCUCUUUGAGUCAGAUGUGGGUUCCCAGGCGCUUAGAGACAGUGGCCAUAGCCUUUCCUCUUUUUUGUUCCAGCUCUGUCCUCUAGUUUAUCUUAUGUUGUCAUAGUAUAGCUUCGUUAUUUUUGUAGGGACGCACUCCAUGGCCUCGAACUUGCGAUAAUCCACCUGCCUCAGCUUCCCGAGCCCUAGAAUAGGCCACGAUGCCCAAAUUCUGGCACUUUCCAGGCCACAAGCCGCAGCCCACAAUAAUGCAAACUCCUAGACCUCGGCCCGCCCAAGUUCGGCUCUGACCCUGUCCUCUUUAUACUUUACAGGUUCUUUGGGUCGCACGAGCACCUCGGUCCUUAGAACCUUUGAGUCCUCUGGCCAGAACAGGGGCCCUAUCUUCCUCCCUUCCCACCUCUCACCUUGGGACCGUCCCUAUUCUCAGCUCGCUCCCGGGUGACCAUUGCUCCUCCAGACCCUUCGGUGGACCCAGCGCGUGCUGCCUAGAUCCUUAUAUCCCGCCGCUGCAGGCCCCUAAAGGUGCAGAGCAGAUCUGCCGGAUUCUACUGGCUGGCUGUGGGAAAAGACGCCGUUGUACCUGUCCCUUCUGCUCAAUCCCCACAAUAACUCCAGUACUUAGCCCUGCAGACUAAUAAGAAUCUGCCGCCAAACGGAUUCUAAAGAUACUGUAGAAGAGAGUGACUUGAGUCCCCUGGAACAGAUUUUCUUAAGGAUGGAUGGACUAAGGGAGGAUAAAGGAUACUUGUAGAAAAAAAAGUCUUUAAAGUAUAAGUAAAAGUGAAAAAAUCUUUCCAUUUACAAGACUUUGGUUUAAAACUAAAUUCAGGAUAGCUGGCAUAGCUGGCAGGAAAACCUCAUACGGGUGCACCAGAGUUACUUGCUUCUGGAGGCCUCUAGUGAGUGUAGGGGAGCAGAGAGACGUGAGAUUUGCUAAAGGGACAAGAAAGGGUUGGUUGCAAAAGGGGAUCCGCACCCACCUCAAACCAAAAGCAUGACCCUCUGCAGAAGGAUAUGUCAACACCUGGAGACUUCAGGACGAAGUGCCUGAGAAGGUAAAACCGAAAUUUAACGUGACAUGAAGACAGGGGGGAAAGACGUAAUAAAGACGGGGCUACAAACCGAGCCAGAAGGUAGCUGUGGCGUCAGAGAGUAGAGCCUCCUCCCAGAGGCCCUCCACAUCCUGAGAGGUUUUUCUACCAGAGGCUGACUUGCCAAAGGCAGAGCAGGAGGGGCCCGGUACUUGAGAAAGGGGCUCCCAUUUGGGUUAGGGCCCUCAGUACAUCCCACCUUCCUCUGCUUCAGCCAAAUGGGAGCACAGAUGUGUGGCCCCAGUAGGCCCCACCGCCCCCCUCCUUGGGAACCAGGAUUGGGGUUGAGUUUUUCUCACCUGCACGUGAGGCUCGGGGCCUGAGGCAGUUUGCACCCGGGUGUGGGGCCGCCCCUGGCCAUAUGGAAUGACUUUAUGGCCCGGUGGCCGGAUCCGACGAAGAGAAAGAAUGGCCUGGCGCUCCACCCACCUCAAUCAUUCUGUACAACCUUUUCCCACACCUAAAAGUAAGCGCAAGAUCGACUCUGCCUCUGACCGGUUCACAUAGGCUUGUUACGAAGCGGUAACUCAUCUGCAUUGGUGGUUCAGUGGUAGAAUUCUCGCCUGCCACGCGGGAGGCCCGGG
rnacentral:sRNA from 1 species